GAAGGAGGUCCCGUGGAGAGCGACUGCGCACGCGCCGCCCGUCGGGGGCUUCCUCGCGAGCCGGGCUCGCAGCUCCGCCCCCGGCUGCUUUCCGCCCGCCCCGCGCUCAGGUCCGAGUCACGAGUUUUCCGUCACCGACGGGGCGGAGAAAACCCCUGUGAUUGUCACAGGAUAUGGCUUUGAAGAGUCCCCGGUUUAGCCCGAGCUGGGAGAAAUGGAGGUUCCCGGGCUGUUUUUCUAAUGACCAGCACGAUCUUCGGGGCUAGGGUGGGGCGGGCGGUCCUCGCGAUAUGCCUUGUGCGCGGAGCGGAGGGGGAAAAGACCGGAAAGCCCGGAUCAUCGAAGGGGGCUGAAUUCGUCGCUGCUUUGAGGGCCCCGUCACCCGCUGCCUCCACAGCAGGUCAGGGCUGUGAUUUAUGAGUCUCGAGGUGAUGACGGCGGCCGGUUUUUAAAAAGCGAAGGCAUGUACCGGGAGGUUGAACGGGGUGAUAUUUUUAGGCGCCAGGCGCUCCGGGCACGUGGAACGGGGGAGCCAGAAAGGGCAGCGGGGCCGUGGGUAGCAAGGUCACCGGGGCCGAGGAGCGCCAGCCCGGCUGCGCCGCCGAGGGACACCACCUCCUGCGCGGAUCGAGCCCAAAAAGGAGUUUUGUCCAGAUCAUAAGCCGCGACACCCUGGUUCCCGGAGUCUGGUGGCUUGCCGCCUCUGCUGGCACCGCCCGGGCCCUGUCGGUCCGCCCGUUGACCCGUUGAGCUCGCGGAACUCUCUCGUUUCCCGUAAGGACUAAACUUGAACCGCGAAGAAUUAAUCCCUGUGCAUUCCGCAACUCCUUUCUCCGCGUGUCUGAAAAUGCAGCCUCGCCUAAGGAAUGGCAUACGGUCAAUUAAUUCCUCACUUGUUAGGGUGAUUGGAUUAAUCAGAGCCUGAGUCCUGGACGCUUUGGAUUUGGAGACAAGAAGCUCUGGGUGGGAAUCGGUGCUUUGUCACUCACUGGCUAUCAGAUUUAGGGCAAGUUACCUAAACACCUUUGAGCCUUAAUUUCUUUGUAAAAUGGGUUUAAUGAUACCUACCCCACUCGAUAGUGGUUCAAUGGCAUGAUGAUGUUAAUGCUACUGAUAAUGAUUGAAAUCUGUCUGGCACUCUGCUAGGUGCCAUAUAUGGAUUAUCUUGUUAAAUCCUUCCUAUGCCAACCCCAUGAGGUAUUUAUUAUUAAUUAUUAUUAUUAUUUUCUCUAUCUUACAGGUGAGGAAUUUGAGGAUUAGAGAUGUUAAAUAAUUUGCCCCAAAUCACCCAAUGGCAAGUGGCAAAGCUGGCAGCUGGGGUCCCUCUGAUUCCAAAAACCCAGUGUCUGAAUCACCGUGAUAAUUUAACAAAAGCAAAUGCUUACAUGGGCCAGGCCUGAACCUUAAGGAAAAGGAGCAGACGGAGGAUAGGAUAAGUGGGUUUCAAGCACGCACUGAACAUUGCUACAACACAGUACUAGGUAACAGCAAGUCUUAACGGUGACCAAAAGGAAUUGGUACUAUAUAGACCAGGGGUUGGAAAUGACUCUCUUGGCUGAACCAGGCCAGUUAUCUACUGUUGAAAAGAAAACCCAAAAGAAUACCGUCUACUUUAUAAAGAAAGAAUAUUAAAGAACUGGUGGAUGUUUUUCCGAAACCACCACAACCUGUUUGAAGAACCAUAACAAGACAGACUGGUAAGAACAGAGAAAAGAAGUUCUCCUACCAGUUCUGCCAGAUCACCAUUAGUGCCUUGGCCCCUUCUUGAAAUUUCCCAUUCUGAAUGGGGUGAAGAUAUUAUUUGUAAUUUUGAAAUAUCACCAAUUAUACUUUUUAAAAUGGCAAUACAUUCCAGAUAUUUAUGUAUUCUAUUUUUAUAACUUCUCAACACUGAUGAGUCUCACAAUAAACAUUACCCGAGAGAUGCC